rnacentral:rRNA from 1 species
AGCGAACACUGGCGGCAGGCUUAACACAUGCAAGUCGAGCGGGCAUCUUCGGAUGUCAGCGGCAGACGGGUGCGUAACACGUGGGAACGUACCCUUCGGUUCGGAACAACUCUGGGAAACUGGAGCUAAUACCGGAUACGCCCUUAUGGGGAAAGGUUUACUGCCGAAGGAUCGGCCCGCGUCUGAUUAGCUAGUUGGUGGGGUAACGGCCUACCAAGGCGACGAUCAGUAGCUGGUCUGAGAGGAUGAUCAGCCACACUGGGACUGAGACACGGCCCAGACUCCUACGGGAGGCAGCAGUGGGGAAUAUUGGACAAUGGGCGCAAGCCUGAUCCAGCCAUGCCGCGUGAGUGAUGAAGGCCUUAGGGUUGUAAAGCUCUUUUGUCCGGGACGAUAAUGACGGUACCGGAAGAAUAAGCCCCGGCUAACUUCGUG